UACGUAGGCAGCAAGCGUUGUUCGGAAUUACUGGGCGUAAAGAGUGUGUAGGUGGUGUCGUAAGUUUGGUGUGAAAUCCCCGGGCUUAACCUGGGAACUGCAUUUGUGACUGCAUAGCUAGAGUACGGUAGAGGGGGAUGGAAUUCCGCGUGUAGCAGUGAAAUGCGUAGAUAUGCGGAGGAACACCGAUGGCGAAGGCAAUCCCCUGGACCUGUACUGACGCUCAUGCACGAAAGCGUGGGGAGCAAACAGG
rnacentral:rRNA from 1 species